GACGAACGCUGGCGGCGUGCUUAACACAUGCCAGUCGAACGGAAAGGCCCUGCUUUUGUGGGGUGCUCGAGUGGCGAACGGGUGAGUAACACGUGAGUAACCUGCCCUUGACUUUGGGAUAACUUCAGGAAACUGGGGCUAAUACCGGAUAGGAGCUCCUGCUGCAUGGUGGGGGUUGGAAAGUUUCGGCGGUUGGGGAUGGACUCGCGGCUUAUCAGCUUGUUGGUGGGGUAGUGGCUUACCAAGGCUUUGACGGGUAGCCGGCCUGAGAGGGUGACCGGCCACAUUGGGACUGAGAUACGGCCCAGACUCCUACGGGGGGCAGCAGUGGGGAAUAUUGCACAAUGGGCGGAAGCCUGAUGCAGCAACGCCGCGUGCGGGAUGACGGCCUUCGGGUUGUAAACCGCUUUCGCCUGUGACGAAGCGUGAGUGACGGUAAUGGGUAAAGAAGCACCGGCUAACUACGU
rnacentral:rRNA from 1 species